rnacentral:tRNA from 1 species
GCCCAGGUGGCGGAACUGGCAUACGCGCACGUUUCAGGUACGUGUGGGAGCAAUCCCGUGGAGGUUCAAGUCCUCUCCUGGGCA